UAAUAAAUUGUAUUUACUCGUAAAAUAAAUUUUUGCGGCAGAGUGGCGCGAUUUCAUUGAAUCGCAGCCAAGACAGGCCGGACAAGGUAGAGGAAAUCAACUUGAGAUUGAGAUUUCUCUAAGAUUAAUCACACACUGUGCACGCAUUUUUAGGACAGCUGAAGGCUUCCAGCGAGACAGGUGACACAUCCCAAGCCGAGUUUGAUUGGGAUUUGCCGAUACUCAAGGAUUGUCGAACUAUUAUUUAUAAUUUUUAAAGAAGACUCCUCGAUAAAUCCAUCCCAUAAAUCUGUCGACUGCCUCCAAUUACUUUACACGAAUGUUUCUUUUUGGUAAACAAACGUUUGCAUACAAAUGUGUGAAUUAUUUUGAUGUUGGUGGCACGUGCAACAAUGCAGUUGCACCACGCCCCCAGAAAACCCAUAAGCAGCCAUUUAAAUUCUCUGGGAUUUCGAGACUUGGCUGGCUGUUCGAGACAAACCUUAGCCCAGUUGGCCCGGGCAGAUCAGAGAACGGGCCGACUAUGACCGAGUAGUGCUGGUGAUUAAACAGCUGUUUCGGCUUAUGAGCUAACCUUAUGUGCUGCUGAAAACAGCAACUGCACUGCCGUGAGAACAGUGAACAACGACUACGAAAUGCUAAAUCGACUCUGACCCACUGACAUUAUUUCGCCGACUUGCAGCAACAACAAGCGAGCAAAGUGCAUUCAGUCAGUCAGCAGGUGUAGUGCUCAGAAGCGAGGCCGGGAGAUAGCCAGGGGGAAGUACAAAAUGUGCCGGAAAGAGAGACUUCUGGGUUAAAAGAGGCAGUGGCAGUGGCAGCGGCAGUGGCAGUGGGUGGAAGGGAGGAAGGCCGCCGGUUGCAUAGUCGCUCCACCGCUCAUUAGAUGUUAUCAGCCAUAGAUUGCUGCAGUUACUGUCUAUUGAAUCAUUCAGUUACAGUUGUUACUUAAUAGCCGCGGGCUCUGCAAAGCGCGGAUCAACUGCGUUGCAUGGGAAAUGGGCCGCGGAUCCAAUCAAAACUUGAUUGCAGAUAUACCUAAAUGGGUUUAAAAUGGGUUUCAACUUUAAGUGAGACUGUUAGGGUAACCUUUUCUUUCCAUUUUUCAAUUUAUUUUAAAUCGAACUACUUCUCAGAAAGAUAAAUCCAAUGAAAUAUUUCCAAUAUCUGCGAUUAUUAAACGAAUUAUUUGCAAUCCAUUGAACAUCAUCUAAGAGUUCUUCAAUGCAUGAGCACUUUUAUGUUUUAUUGCACAAAUUGGACGCCUUUCCCACAGCUACUUUCAGCCGUCUUACCACUGGCUGUGUUAUUUUGAUGGCGCGAAUGGAAAGUGAAAACUGUCAAUGCCUGAGUUGGCAAUUAGUCAGUGAAAGUGUAGCAGAUGGCACGCGUCUCGCCUGCCGCCCGCCCUCCCGACUUGCUGGGGGCCCGUUGAUGGGGCAAUUAAAGUGGCUAAGCGCACACAAUGCGAAAGAGAUAAUAAAAAAUAAAUAAAAAUAAUUCAAGUAUGUGUCACAUAAAUCAAUGCCAAUUAAUUGACUCGCGCGAUUGGCUCUGGUUCAUGAUUCAUGAAAAUAAUUAUUCAACGCGUCGAGAAGUAUAUUUCUAAAAACAAAACUAAACACUAGCAGGCUAGAAGUCGACAAAUAUGAAAUAUUUUCAUUGGAUCGUUAAAAUUAUGGCCCCAUGGCAGCAUUAUUUUCAAAGUCAAAAAUAUUAUGGAAAUGAACAUAAACUUCCCCACUCGCAGAAAUAGACUGGUGUGGUGUUCGGGCAAAACAAAACCUGAAUCACACAAUUUAUCAAACAGCAACCUGAGUAUGCUUUCUGCAACAAAGUAUAUAUAGAAGAUAUAUCGUGUAUAUAAUAAAAUCAGCAACCAGCCGCAAUAAAAACAACAACUGCGGCAACUAGCGGCGGCAAUCGAAAUACACUUGAACCAAUGACUGUAGCCGAGAGCGUCCCACAAACAGUGCGAGCGAGAGCUUCCACAGAGGCCCCUCCGACGGAGAGAGAGGAGGGUGGCAUUGUGUCUCUGUCUCUGGGGCGAGAGGAGACCCGAACCGAACAUAUGUUUUAUUCACACAAUUAGUUUGCUAAAAAUGCAGGCUUACCCACACAGAAGCAGCUGCGCAAAUGAGGUUGCCCACGGCGAGGGGGCUAUGGAAGGAGCGGGGGAUGUCAGCUAGACAAGACUAGACUUAGUUGGCUCAGCUUAAACGAGUGCCCGCCCAGCUCUCAGUCUCCGGCUGAGGAGAACGUCAGCUUAGACAGCUGAGACAGGUCCACAAAAGCUCCCAAGUUAGACUAAAGAGCGGCGAUUUAAAUCGAGUGGAUUAAGUGACAGUCGAGGGUUAAGCUCGGGUGAUAUCACACAACUACAUACAUAUAUAUUUCUUAUUUAAAAAUAAUUCUAUAGCAGUUGUAGAUCAUUCCUGAUACCAUUUGAACUAAUUACUCAUAAUUGUUUACUAACCAGAAACUUUUGUGUUCUCGCAUUCAGCACCCUUGGGGAUGCCCGAUCCCCCGAUAACUGACCUUAUGCGAAAGCCUAACCCGCAUACAUUUUGAUUUUGUCAGAAUGAUUCAGCAUUUCGGGCCAACUUGUCAUUCAAAUUCCAAAGAAACUCCAGCAAAACAGCCGCAUAAAAACAAACAAUUAAUAUUUACAAAUGUUUCGUAGUUGUGGGUAAUUUAAAAGCCAGAUUGAUGUCAAGGACACUUUUUAAUUUGCGGAAAUACGUGAAACGUCUGACGCAUACUGGAAUGCGAGUAAAUGAAUAUUUUAUUGGGUUUAUCUUCAGUUCUUGUUUGACAUUCUCGCCCAAAAAUUUCAAUUACUUACAGCUCUUUCUUUCUUUUUCUUUUUUUUUUUUACCAAUUUUAGCAUAAUCAAGUUUGAAUUCCAAAUUUCAAGUUGGAAGCGACAAGCCGAAAAUCACGUAGGCUCUUCUAAAAAACCAAUUUCAAAACAAGCUUAAGGGUUUCUUUGCCCUUUUCUUGCCCGCCCCCUCCUCCGACACACGUUGCGUAUGAGUGAUGUGGUGGCUGGUGUGUCAGGUGUACAGUUACCCCAUAAUAAUAAUCAUAUUCAUCACGUGAAUCGUGACUCGAUUUGUCUAAGCCCGACUUCUGCAGGUACAUAUGUAUAGCCGAGAAAGCCAUGGUUGACAUAAUACUAACAUAUUACGGGUAAUGAGUAAUUUGUUUUAACCACACUUUGAUUCUGCUGGGGCCAAAAUGUGAUUCAUGUCGAGUGGAACAGCUUUGCGAGUGGGUUUAGGCCUCCAUUCAAACGCAAAUUAAUCAUCAAAAAGUAAUUCAGGGAAUCGCUGCUGCUGACAGACUUUAAUUUCAGUUCGAUGGAAUUUUUAUUUCACAAGUCAGUAAUGUUAUUGAAUGAAACUCGUUUCUAGAAGCAGAAGCUAAGCGGGGGUAAGAGGCUCAAGUGAUUAGGUUGGUUAAUAUUCAACUUCUUGUAUUUUCAAAUCAGAAGAAAGUAUUUGUGACGAAAUGUGUUGCGAUAAAAAGAAAGUUCUCUUACAGUCCCUUAGCAUUUAUAUUUAUUUUCUUCCUACAAAAAUACACUCGAAUCUUCCUCUGCUCGUGACGAUAAAUUGUGAAAAUAGCCAAGCAGAGAACGCUUGUGAGAUUGAGGCCCAAGCGGCAAAGUGCAAAUUGAUAAGUCCAACAAAAAGUAUAAGAAAAAGACAAGCCAGUGGCAAUAGCGCAAAUAAGUCAACUGACUUACUGCAUUAAUUGUAAUUUAAUUAAUUUACGCUAAAAUCCACUGCUCCGCCGGCUCUUCGCGGCUGCCUUAAUUAAGCGCGUCAAUCAUACGCCCUGUGUGACGAGAGUGGAGCUAAAUAGAGAAUAGGACGCUGCGGUGGCCGGGGCUGACGAGGAUGAUUAUGAUCAUGGUGGGCUGCCACAUUUAAGUGUCGCCCUGUCAAAAUAGCCAACAACGAAAACCAGAAGCAGCAGAAAAAGAAUUUGCACAAUUAUUGCGCUUGUCAGGGGGGCG